AUGGCCGAUGGCAGCGUGGACGCGGAGGUGGUGAUCGUCGGUGGCGGCAUCGCGGGCCUUGCAACGGCGGUGGCGCUCCAGCGGGCGGGCGUGGCGCCCGGUGGCCGCGGCAUCUUGGUGCUAGAGCGGCACCCCGAACUGCGCGCCACCGGGACGGCGAUGACCGUCUUCCCCAACGGCUGGUUCGCGCUCCGCGCGCUUGGCGUCGCACACAAGCUCACGUCCCGCUACGGCGUCAUCGAAAAAUCCCGGGUGACCAAUCUUGAAACCGGGACGACGCAGGUGUUUCGAUUUGCCGGGAACAAAGUCAGCGAUGAAGUGAGAAUGAGAGCGGUGGGCCGAAAGGCGCUGCUGGAUGCGCUAGCAGACGAGCUGCCCCCGGGCAUGGUCCGCUUCUCCUCCAAGCUCGUCUCCAUCGACGCCGUACCCGCAACUAGCGGCUCGUCGGAGGCCACCGUCCUAAGAUUAGAAGACGGCGCGGUGAUCCGAGCCAAGAUUCUGAUCGGUUGCGACGGCGUGCACUCGGUGGUGGCGCGGUGGCUCGGCCUGUCGGAGCCACUGAGGUCGGGCCGGUCCACCAUCCGCGGCCUCUCCGUGUACCCUAGCGGGCACGGUUUGAAGCAAGAGAUCCGGCAGUACCUGUCGAACGGCAUCCGAGCCGGCUUGCUGCCCAUCAGCAAUACCGGUAUCUACCCGCCGAGUACCUGGGCGCGCACCUGCCCGCCGAGUACCUGGACGUGGUCCGUAACACCGACCUGGGCAACCUCUCGUGGGCACCAUUGUUGUACAGAAACCCCUGGGGCGUGCUCACGGGCAAGGCAGCCCGUGGGACGGUAA
rnacentral:rRNA from 1 species